UUAACUGCCACCCGCCUGAAUGUAUUUAAAAUCUUUUUUUUUUUUUUUCAACCGCCCGACCCGACCCGCGGAUAAAAUCUAAUUUUUUUUAAUUUCAUCCGCCCGAUCCGCGGAUAAUCCGCGGACUCCGCGGUUGUGCCCGCAAACCGCGCAUCUCUAAUACAUACAUACACUCAUGCAUAUAAUCACGUUUCAUCAAACAUAUAUUAACGUUUUUGCCCUAGGGUAAUCUGGGUAACACAUGGCACACUGACAAAGCUUAACCUAUUGUUACUAUAACAAUCUACAAGGUUAAUAUAAUUUGCUUCUCUUUCUUACCCUCCAUUUAUCUGCUUUAUUUUGUAUUUCAUGUUAUCAUGACAUAUAUGUAUUGUUGCAUUUGAACAAUUGUAUUGUUGAUAAUAGAGGUAAUUAUUGUUAUUAUUCACUAUAAAUAGUGCUAUUUCUAUUGGUAUUUGUAAUGCUCCAUUUGUAGUGUAAUAAUGUUCAUUUUCAUUUUUGUAUUAUUAUUUAUUUCACUAACUGCUUCUUUGCUAUCACUUUUACCAUUAUAGUGGUACAUAUCCUAUUUAAAUAACAUUUAGCUUCAGGCUAUGAGGAAACUUAAAAUCUUGGCAUGUGACAUAAAGACUGAUGCAAAACAGCAGUUUUUAUGCAGUUCUGAAUUUGAUGUGGGAGUGUGCAGGUGCACCUAAUGUUGUGACGGGUGAAUCUAUAUAAUGUUUUAGACGUUCAUUUCUCUUAUAGAUAUAUAUUUAAUUAGUGCACAUUUUCAAAAGAUACAUUAUUAUACUUUUGGAUAUAGUGGGGUGUGGGUUCAUUUGCAAUCUGGAAACGCCUCCACAAACGAACAUCUUGCAGACAGAGUCCAAGACCGGGUUAUAAAUGUGACUGUGGAGCAAAAUUGACACCACAACAUAUCCAAUAUAUAUUAUCUAGAACAGUGGUCCCCAACCUUUUUGUAACUGCGGACCGGUCAACACUUGAAAAUUUGUCCUACAGUGGGGACACAAGAAAAAAAUAAAUAAAUAAAAUAAAAAAUAAAAACAAUUAUUAUUAUUUUUUUUUUUGCCAUAAAAAUAUACAAUCAUGUGUGCUUACGGACUGUAUCCCUGCAGACUGUAUUGAUCUAUAUUGAUAUAUAAUGUAGGAACCAGAAAUAUUAAUAACAGAAAGAAACAACCCUUUUGUGUGAAUGAGUGUGAAUGAGUGUAAAUGGGGGAAAGAGGUUUUUUGGGUUGGUGCACUAAUUGUAAGUGUAUCUUUUGUUUUUUAUGUUGAUUUAAUAAAAAUAAAAAUAAAUCAAUAAAAAAAAUUAUUGUGCGGCCCGGUACCAAUUGAUCCACGGACCGGAAGGAGGUUGGGGACCACUGAUCUAGACCACAAGGAAUUGUUUUAGAAUGUGGAUUAAACUCAUCAUAAUUGACUAUUGUGUUCUUUACAUUUCACAAAAUAUAAUGUUUUUUUACUAGGGAUGUCCGAUAAUGGCUUUUUGCCGAUAUUCGAUAUUCCGAUAUUGUCCAACUCUUUAAUUACCGAUACCGAUAUCAACCGAUAUAUACAGUCGUGGAAUUAACACAUUAUAAUGCCUAAUUUAGACAACCAGGUAUGGUGAAGAUAAGGUACUUUUAAAAAAAAUUAAUAAAAUAAAAUAACAUAAAUAAAUUAAAACCAUUUUCUUGAAUAAAAAAGAAAGUAAAACAAUAUAAAAACAGUUACAUAGAAACUAGUAAUUAAUGAACAUUAGUAAAAUUAACUGUUAAAGGUUAGUACUAUUAGUUGACCAGCAGCACGCACAAUCAUGUGUGCUUACGGACUGUAUCCCUUGCAGACUGUAUUGAUAUAUAUUGAUAUAUAAUGUAGGAACCAGAAAUAUUAAUAACAGAAAGAAACAACCCUUUUGUGCGAAUGAGUGUGAAUGAGUGUAAAUGGGGGAGAGAGGUUUUUUGGGUUGGUGCACUAAUUGUAAGUGUAGCUUGUGUUUUUUAUGUUGAUUUAAUAAAAAAUAAAAAAAAAAAAUAAAAAAAA